rnacentral:rRNA from 1 species
GCAAGUCGAACGCGAACAGCUCUUCGGAGCUAAGUAGAGUGGCGGACGGGUGAGUAACGCGUAGGAAUCUACCUAAGUGUGGGGGAUAACAUGGAGAAAUUCAUGCUAAUACCGCAUACGCCCCACGGGGUAAAGAGGGCCUCUUCUUGAAAGCUCUUGCAUUUAGAUGAGCCUGCGUCGGAUUAGCUUGUUGGUGGGGUAAUGGCCUACCAAGGCGACGAUCUUUAGCGGGUCUGAGAGGACGAUC